rnacentral:other from 1 species
GAUACUCUGUUUUUAUCGUAAUUAUAGUUAAUUUUUGUGCCAACAAAUUAACUUUGGAAGCUCAAACUUAGACUGUAGCGUAAAUGCCCGAUAUUUAAAACGGGACUUACAAAGCAGACAGGAGGGCACCCACCUUAGUAGGAUGGGGCAUAAAAAACUUCUAAUGGUUACGACAAAAUGGGGUAUCA